rnacentral:rRNA from 1 species
UCCGUGUCGUGAGAUGUUGGGUUAAGUCCCGCAACGAGCGCAACCCUUUAUCUUUAAUUGCCAGCAUUCAGUUGGGGCACUUUAAAGAGACUGCCGGUGUUAAACCGGAGAAGUGGGGAUGACGUCAAGUCCUCAUGGCCUUUAUACCCAGGGCUACACACGUGCUACAAUGGGCUGCACAAAGGGUCGCUAGCUCGCGAGAGUGCGCUAAUCCCAAAAAGCAGUUCUCAGUUCGGAUUGGAGUCUGCAACUCGACUCCAUGAAGUUGGAAUCGCUAGUAAUCGUGGAUCAGCACGCCACGGUGAAUACGUUCCCGGGCCUU